rnacentral:rRNA from 1 species
GAUGAACGCUGGCGGCGUGCUUAACACAUGCAAGUCGAACGGAAAGGCCCAAGCUUGCUUGGGUACUCGAGUGGCGAACGGGUGGGUAACACGUGGGUGAUCUGCCCCGCACUUCGGGAUAAGCCUGGGAAACUGGGUCUAAUACCGGAUAGGACCACUUCUUGGAGGUUGUGGUGGAAAGUUUUUUCGGUGUGGGAUGAGCUCGCGGCCUAUCAGCUUGUUGGUGGGGUAAUGGCCUACCAAGGCGUCGACGGGUAGCCGGCCUGAGAGGGUGUACGGCCACAUUGGGACUGAGAUACGGCCCAGACUCCUACGGGAGGCAGCAGUGGGGAAUAUUGCACAAUGGGCGCAAGCCUGAUGCAGCGACGCCGCGUGGGGGAUGACGGCCUUCGGGUUGUAAACUCCUUUCGCUAGGGACGAAGCGCAAGUGACGGUACCUAGAGAAGAAGCACCGGCUAACUACGUG